rnacentral:rRNA from 1 species
CUGCUCAGAUGAACGCUAGCGGCAGGCCCAAGAAAUGCAAGUUCGGAAGGGAAGUCAACAGCUUUGCUGUUGAUGAGAGUGGCGCACGGGUGCGUAACGCGUGAGCAACCUGCCCAUUUCAGGGGGAUAGCCCGGAGAAAUCCGGAUUAAGACCGCAUAUGAUCACGUUACCGCAUGGUAGAGUGAUGAAAUAUUCAUAGGAAAUGGAUGGGCUCGCGUGACAUUAGCUAGUUGGUAGGGUAACGGCCUACCAAGGCGACGAUGUCUAGGGGCUCUGAGAGGAGAAUCCCCCACACUGGUACUGAGACACGGACCAGACUCCUACGGGAGGCAGCAGUAAGGAAUAUUGGUCAAUGGGGGCAACCCUGAACCAGCCAUGCCGCGUGCAGGAAGACGGCCCUACGGGUUGUAAACUGCUUUUGCACGGGAAUAACCCUCAUUAUGUAUAAUGAGCUGAAUGUACCGUGAGAAUAAGGAUCGGCUAACUCCGUGCCAGCAGCCGCGGUAAUACGGAGGAUCCGAGCGUUAUCCGGAAUUAUUGGGUUUAAAGGGUGCGCAGGCGGGGAUCUAAGUCAGGGGUGAAAGACGGUGGCUCAACCAUCGCAGUGCCUUUGAUACUGGAUUCCUUGAAUAUACCUGAGGUAGGCGGAAUGUGGCAAGUAGCGGUGAAAUGCAUAGAUAUGCCACAGAACACCGAUUGCGAAGGCAGCUUACCAAAGUAUGAUUGACGCUGAGGCACGAAAGCGUGGGGAUCGAACAGGAUUAGAUACCCUGGUAGUCCACGCCCUAAACGAUGAACACUCGAUGUCGGCGAUAGACAGUCGGCGUCCAAGCGAAAAGCGUUAAGUGUUCCACCUGAGGAGUACGCCCGCCCGGGUGAACUCACAGAUGUGGUGUGCUGGUAAAAAAA